UGACGUUGGUUGUCGGAGAUGUCGAUGUCGUCGAGGAAGUGUGUUGUUGUCAAAAGGUGGAGAUUGUUAUUGGGUUUGACCAAAACACACAACAUUGGGCUUUUAUUGGGCCAGACGGAGUUAAUAUAAAGAAAAGAAGAACAAAAGUGGUCCAUCACACACAUAUAUAUAUAUAUAUAUAUAUAUAUAUGUGGAUGUAGGUGUGAGACAAGACACAAAGAGAGUUCUAGAGAGAAAGAGAAGAAACGAGAGUUUAUUCUUCAAGAAGCUUUCUCCUUCUUUGUUCUUUGUGUUUGAUCUUUGUUCUUCUUGAGAUUGUACCUGAAACCAAAGACAACAUCACAAGUCAAGUGGUGUUUGUAAUCUCUUUGAUAUAGUGAAGCUUUGGGAGCAAGAGAUCUCUCCUCAGACAUAGCGGUUAAGCCGUGAACUUGGCUAUCAAUUUCUGUGUUUGUUUCUGUUACAAGCAACCGUUCAGUUUCGUGUUCUCUACAGAGCCAACCGGCUAAGGCUAAGGUGAUGACUCAAGGAGAAGCCAAAUAGACUACGGUUAGAGAAAGUCGAGUGAUGGUUCGAGUCAAACAUUCUGAAGCUAAAGCUAAAGUGAUGGUUCUAAGAAUCAAAGUAAAGAAGGAGGUGUUCAAAGGUGGACACCAAGAAGAGGAGAAGAGAAGCUUACCUGAGAGAGAGGAAGCUGAAGAAGGUUGCAGCGACAACCGGAAGAGACGUGAGGGAGGCUCACCGAGAAGAUGCGGAGAAGACAUGGAGACUGCUUGAGGGAAAGAGAAAUCCCAAGAGCUCCAAUGUCUGAAAACCAGAAACAAUUGACAAGAGAGGUCAAUUGAAGAAAAGAGAAGAAGGAGUAGUUGAAUCGAAGUGAUGAAGAGUCAAAAGUGUUACCUUUGUGUGAUAAGAAGAAAAUCACCAAGAGGAAGACAAGAGACCGAGACUUAACACCAAUUCACCUGCAAAAGAAGAAAGUAGAGGAUGAGUUCGAUUACGGAAAAUCGAAGCAGAGGGACAUGAAGAACUUCACGCACAAACACGUAGAGAAGAAGAAUCUCGAUGCGAGGAUAUUCAAAGUAAGAGGGAGAUGAAGAAGGCAAGCUUACCAGUGAGCUGUGCCAAAGAUCGUGAAAGGGAUUCGCACAAGAGAAGAGGCGAAUCACCAAGAGAAGAAGAAGCAAUGAGAUUGAAUUCCCUAAAAUCGAAUUGGGGAUUUAAUCUAAGGAUUCUUAGGGGAGUGUUGGAAUUGUGAAUCCUAGAUUAAAUCCUGCAAUAAGGAAAGCUUUAUGAGAAGAAGAGAAGAAUAGAGAAGAAGCUUCAAGCGUAAAAGAAGAGCAAGGAACAAAGUCAACAAAAGAGAUGUUGGGCUUUGUGUUUUGUUAAAAUGGGCUGCAGAUGAAUUAGGCCCAAGUAUGUUUAGUUAAUUAGUGUUGUGUUAUAGAAUCAAAGAUGUUAUGUAGAGUGAAUUAAGGAGUUGGGAGUUCCAACAUAGUAGAGUAGCUGAUGUAAGUCUUAAGACAAUGAUGUGGUCUAGGGUCUAAGCAAGUGGAGUAAAGCCACUAUAUGUAUGUGUGUCUUGUGUAAGAUUAUCCAAGUUUAUUAUCAAUGUAGACAUGCAAGUGUUUAAACGUGUUCUUGUAUUUUCUGUUUUAACAAGAACAAAAACAGAGAUCGUGAGAAAAGCAGAGAACUUGUGGUGAAAAUUAGAACAAAU
rnacentral:lncRNA from 1 species